GGCUCAGGAUGAACGCGGGCGGCGUGCUUAAUACAUGCAAGUCGAACGAAGAGUUUCUGUAGCAAUACGGGAACUUCUUAGUGGCGAACGGGUGCGUAACGCGUUGGUGACCUGCCCCAAAGUGUGGGAUAACAGUUCGAAAGGACUGCUAAUACCACAUGUGGUCCUUCGGGUUAGAGGCCGAAGGUCUAAAGCAGUAAUGCGCUUUGGGAGGGACCUGCGUCCCAUCAGCUAGUUGGUGAGGUAACGGCCCACCAAGGCUAUGACGGGUAGGGGACCUGAGAGGGUGGUCCCCCACACUGGCACUGAAACACGGGCCAGACACCUACGGGUGGCAGCAGUAGGGAAUAUUGGGCAAUGGGCGAAAGCCUGACCCAGCAACGCCGCGUGCACGAUGAAGGUCUUCGGAUCGUAAAGUGCUUUUCUGAGAGAUGAGAAAGGACAGUAUCUCAGGAAUAAGUCUCGGCUAACUACGUGCCAGCAGCCGCGGUAACACGUAGGAGGCAAGCGUUAUCCGGAUUUACUGGGCGUAAAGCGCGUGCAGGUGGUUCGGUAAGUUGGAUGUGAAAGCUCCUGGCUCAACUGGGAGAGGUCGUUCAAAACUGCCGGACUUGAGAACAGUAGAGGAAGAUGGAAUUCCCGGUGUAGUGGUGAAAUGCGUAGAUAUCGGGAGGAACACCAGUGGCGAAAGCGAUCUUCUGGACUGUUUCUGACACUCAGACGCGAAAGCUAGGGUAGCAAACGGGAUUAGAGACCCCGGUAGUCCUAGCUGUAAACGAUGUGAACUUGGCGUCGGCGGGUUCAAAGCCGUCGGUGCCGAAGCCAACGCGAUAAGUUCACCGCCUGGGGACUACGGCCGCAAGGUUAAAACU
rnacentral:rRNA from 1 species